rnacentral:rRNA from 1 species
GAUGAACGCUGGCGGCGUGCUUAACACAUGCAAGUCGAACGAAGCAUUUUACCGGAAUUUCUUCGGAGAGAAAAGUAAAAUGACUGAGUGGCGGACGGGUGAGUAACGCGUGGAUAACCUGCCAUAUACAGGGGGAUAACAGUUAGAAAUGACUGCUAAUACCGCAUAAGCGCACAGUAUCGCAUGAUACGGUGUGAAAACUACGGUGGUAUAUGAUGGAUCCGCGUCUGAUUAGCUAGUUGGUGGGGUAAUGGCCCACCAAGGCAAUGAUCAGUAGCCGACCUGAGAGGGUGACCGGCCACAUUGGGACUGAGACACGGCCCAAACUCCUACGGGAGGCAGCAGUGGGGAAUAUUGCACAAUGGGCGAAAGCCUGAUGCAGCGACGCCGCGUGAGCGAAGAAGUAUUUCGGUAUGUAAAGCUCUAUCAGCAGGGAAGAAAAUGACGGUACCUGACUAAGAAGCCCCGGCUAACUACGUG